GAACGAUGAAGCCCAGCUUGCUGGGUGGAUUAGUGGCGAACGGGUGAGUAACACGUGAGUAACCUGCCCUUAACUCUGGGAUAAGCCUGGGAAACUGGGUCUAAUACCGGAUAGGAGCGCCCACCGCAUGGUGGGUGUUGGAAAGAUUUAUCGGUUUUGGAUGGACUCGCGGCCUAUCAGCUUGUUGGUGAGGUAAUGGCUCACCAAGGCGACGACGGGUAGCCGGCCUGAGAGGGUGACCGGCCACACUGGGACUGAGACACGGCCCAGACUCCUACGGGAGGCAGCAGUGGGGAAUAUUGCACAAUGGGCGCAAGCCUGAUGCAGCGACGCCGCGUGAGGGAUGACGGCCUUCGGGUUGUAAACCUCUUUCAGUAGGGAAGAAGCGAAAGUGACGGUACCUGCAGAAGAAGCACCGGCUAACUACGUGCCAGCAGCCGCGGUAAUACGUAGGGUGCGAGCGUUAUCCGGAAUUAUUGGGCGUAAAGAGCUCGUAGGCGGUUUGUCGCGUCUGUCGUGAAAGUCCGGGGCUUAACCCCGGAUCUGCGGUGGGUACGGGCAGACUAGAGUGCAGUAGGGGAGACUGGAAUUCCUGGUGUAGCGGUGGAAUGCGCAGAUAUCAGGAGGAACACCGAUGGCGAAGGCAGGUCUCUGGGCUGUAACUGACGCUGAGGAGCGAAAGCAUGGGGAGCGAACAGGAUUAGAUACCCUGGUAGUCCAUGCCGUAAACGUUGGGCACUAGGU
rnacentral:rRNA from 1 species